rnacentral:rRNA from 1 species
AUGGAGACACCAUCAAUGGCAAUUCCAAAGGGAAAAGGAGCAAACAAUGAGCACCCACAAGUAUUUGACAAUGUUGGCUCUUGGGCUGCCCAAUUGAUCACUGAAGCUGGUGGCAAGGUGGUCUCCAUCAGAGAUGUCACAGGGGCUGUGAAGAACUCUAAUGGCAUUGACAUAGCCAAGCUGAUGAAGCACUCGGCAGAGAACCGUGGGAUCAAGGGCUCCGACAAAAGGCGACGCCGUCGACCGACCUCGCUGCUCACGGAAGUGCGACGUGCUCAUCCCGGCAACUCUGGGAGGAGUCAUAAACAAUCCUUUCGAUUUUCUUGUUCUCCUAGGGACAAUGUUGAUGCCAUCAAAGCAAAUAGAGAAGUGUACAUGUCCGCGCUGCAGAUUCUGGCAAAGAAGGGCGUGCUGAUCCUACCGGACAUCGUGGCCAACUCCGGCGGAGUGAUGGUGAGCUACUUCGAGUGGGUGCAGAACAUCCAGGGGUCCAUACUUGUAGACCUGAAUGACUAA